rnacentral:rRNA from 1 species
GAUUAACGCUGGCGGCGUGCAUAACACAUGCAAGUCGAACGAUGAAACUUUAAUGAACCCUUCGGGGAGAAUUAAAGCGGAUUAGUGGCGAACGGGUGAGUAACGCGUGAGUAACCUGCCUUACACAAGGGGAUAGCCUUUGGAAACGAAGAAUAAUACCCUAUAAAACCAUAAAAGCACAUGCAAUUAUGGUCAAAGUGAUAGCGGUGUAAGAUGGACUUGCGUCUGAUUAGCUAGUUGGUGAGAUAAAAGCCCACCAAGGCAACGAUCAGUAGCUGGCUUGAGAGAGUGUACGGCCACAUUGGGACUGAGACACGGCCCAGACUCCUACGGGAGGCAGCAGUGGGGAAUUUUGCACAAUGGGGGAAACCCUGAUGCAGCGACGCCGCGUGAUUUAGAAGGCCUUCGGGUUGUAAAAAUCUUUUGUAUAGGAAGAAAAUGACAGUACUAUACGAAUAAGGUCCGGCUAAUUACGUG